rnacentral:rRNA from 1 species
AGUUAAUCUGCCCUAAGGACUCGGAUACCCACGGGAAACUGUGGAUAAACCGGGAUAGGCAAUCUGUGCUGGAAUGCUUGAUUGCUUAAAGUCGCCGCAAAUUGCAGCGGAGCGAGCCUUAGGAUGAGACUGCGCCUGAUUAGGUAGUUGGUGGGGUAAUGGCCCACCAAGCCGAUAAUCAGUAGGGGCAAUGGGAGUUGGAGCCCCGAGAAGGACACUGAGACAAGGGUCCUAGUCCUACGGGAUGCAGCAGGCGCGAAACCUUUACAAUGCGCGCAAGCGUGAUAGGGGAACUCUGAGUGGCGUUGAGACAUAGUCUCUCGUCUUUUGCCAAGUCCAAAUAGCUUGGCGAAUAAGUGCUGGGUAAGACCAGUGCCAGCCGCCGCGGUAAUACUGGCAGCACAAGUGGUAUCCACGAAUAUUGGGUCUAAAGAGUCCGUAGCCGGUCCUUUAAGUCUUCUGUGAAGUCUUGAGGCUUAACUUCAAGGCGUGCAGAAGAUACUGCUGGACUUGAGAGUGGGGGAGGUCAGGAGUACUUAUGGGGUAGUGGUAAAAUACUGUAAUCCUAUAAGGACUUCCAGUGGCGAAGGCGCCUGACCAAAACACGUCUGACGGUGAGGGACGAAGGCUAGGAGAACGAAUCGGAUUAGAUACCCGAGUAGCCCUAGCAGUAAAUCAUGCAGACUGUGGUGUUGCGGUAACCUCGAGUUGCCGCAGUGCUGUAGCGUAGGUGUUAAGUCUGCCACCUGGGGAGUACGGCCGCAAGGUUGAAACUUAA